UACGUAGGUGGCAAGCGUUGUCCGGAAUUAUUGGGCGUAAAGCGCGCGCAGGCGGUUUCUUAAGUCUGAUGUGAAAGCCCACGGCUCAACCGUGGAGGGUCAUUGGAAACUGGGAGACUUGAGUGCAGAAGAGGAAAGUGGAAUUCCAUGUGUAGCGGUGAAAUGCGUAGAGAUAUGGAGGAACACCAGUGGCGAAGGCGACUUUCUGGUCUGUAACUGACACUGAGGCGCGAAAGCGUGGGGAGCAAACAGG
rnacentral:rRNA from 1 species